rnacentral:sRNA from 1 species
CAGACGCUCACCCAGGCGUAGCAUCGCAUCCACGACGGGUUCGGGAGUGACUGAUCCAAAGAGUCGGCGAGGGAUGAAAG